GCUAGCGUGGCGUGGUGGUUUGAGCCUUGGACUAUGACUCUGGAGAGCUGGGUUCGAAUCCCACCUCGGCCA